GCCUGGUGGCUCAGUCGGUUAAGCAUCUGACUUCGGCUCAGGUCAUGAUCUCGCGGUUUGUGGGUUCGAGCCCCGCCUCGGGCU
rnacentral:tRNA from 1 species